AUUUCCCCCUGCUAAUUAAUUUAAUCAAAUAUUGGUCGACCCGCUUCAUAUGAAAUUUCCCCCUCCGUCCUUCUCUAUCUCUUUCCCUCAUCAAACUGCUUCUCUAUCCCUCUUCUCUCUCGAUCCGCUCCUUGGAAUGCAUGUCCAGAGCUACCAAAUUUUGAACUCCGAGGACCAUGCAAAUAUUCUGCGGAAACACAAUAAGAACCCAUCCGACUACAGACCUGACAUCAUUCAUCAGGCUCUUUUAAUGAUUCUGGAUAUCCCCCUAAAUAAGGCUGUAAAGAUACAAGUUGUGUAUGUUAAAACUCAGAAAGGUGUACUUUUCGAGGUUAAACCUCAUGUUCGUAUCCCAAGAACAUACAAGCGUUUCACUGGCAUUAUGUCGAUCGCUGAGCUCUUGGACAAUGCUGUUGAUGAGUUAUGAUAGAGGUGCAUACUUGGUUUUGCGAUCAUUUGUCAUGAGAACUCAUAGAUCCAAACAUCAGCGAGAAGCAUUUAAGAGGGCCUCUGCAGAACAACUAGAACCAGUCUUUGAGGCCUUGGAUACCCUUGGAAACACAAAAUGGAGAGUGAAUAAAAAGGUGCUUAGCAUUGUAGAUAAGAUAUGGGCUAAUGGAGGUCGUUUGGCUGACUUAGUUGAUUGGGAUGAUGUGAGUUAUCUUUGCUCUUUCCAUCUUAGAAAUAAUUGAGUUUGGUUCUAAUAUGGGUGCAACUGAAGAACUUAGACUUGAAUAGAGAAUACUAUAAAUAGAAUUAAGCAUGAUGUAUAUAAUAGAGUUCAUAGUAUUAUUUUCCAUAGUACUAGAGUUGUUGAUAUUAGAUGGUUUAGAGAGUUAUUUUUGUAGCCUGUUGGUUUUGCUCUUGGUCUUGGGGUUAUGUCCCUUGCUGAGCUUAUCGUUUCUGGUUUUUUGAUGCAAUAAUAUUCUGAUCUUUGCUUAACAAAAAAAAUUAUGUAUUUAAUUUGUAGUGUACGGAAUAUAUAUAAUACUUGAUUAAGUUUUUAUGGCU